rnacentral:rRNA from 1 species
GGGUGCUAACGUCCGUCGUGAAGAGGGAAACAACCCAGACCGCCAGCUAAGGUCCCAAAGUCAUGGUUAAGUGGGAAACGAUGUGGGAAGGCCCAGACAGCCAGGAUGUUGGCUUAGAAGCAGCCAUCAUUUAAAGAAAGCGUAAUAGCUCACUGGUCGAGUCGGCCUGCGCGGAAGAUGUAACGGGGCUAAACCAUGCACCGAAGCUGCGGCAGCGACACUGUGUGUUGUUGGGUAGGGGAGCGUUCUGUAAGCCUGUGAAGGUGUGCUGUGAGGCAUGCUGGAGGUAUCAGAAGUGCGAAUGCUGACAUAAGUAACGAUAAAGCGGGUGAAAAGCCCGCUCGCCGGAAGACCAAGGGUUCCUGUCCAACGUUAAUCGGGGCAGGGUGAGUCGACCCCUAAGGCGAGGCCGAAAGGCGUAGUCGAUGGGAAACAGGUUAAUAUUCCUGUACUUGGUGUUACUGCGAAGGGGGGACGGAGAAGGCUAUGUUGGCCGGGCGACGGUUGUCCCGGUUUAAGCGUGUAGGCUGGUUUUCCAGGCAAAUCCGGAAAAUCAAGGCUGAGGCGUGAUGACGAGGCACUACGGUGCUGAAGCAACAAAUGCCCUGCUUCCAGGAAAAGCCUCUAAGCAUCAGGUAACAUCAAAUCGUACCCCAAACCGACACAGGUGGUCAGGUAGAGAAUACCAAGGCGCUUGAGAGAACUCGGGUGAAGGAACUAGGCAAAAUGGUGCCGUAACUUCGGGAGAAGGCA